rnacentral:rRNA from 1 species
AUUGAACGCUGGCGGCAGGCUUAACACAUGCAAGUCGAGCGGGGUGAUGGUGCUUGCACUAUCACUUAGCGGCGGACGGGUGAGUAAUGCUUAGGAAUCUGCCUAUUAGUGGGGGACAACAUCUCGAAAGGGAUGCUAAUACCGCAUACGUCCUACGGGAGAAAGCAGGGGAUCACUUGUGACCUUGCGCUAAUAGAUGAGCCUAAGUCGGAUUAGCUAGUUGGUGGGGUAAAGGCCUACCAAGGCGACGAUCUGUAGCGGGUCUGAGAGGAUGAUCCGGCACACUGGGACGGAGACGAGGCCCAGACUCAGACGGGAGGCAGCAGUGGGGAAUAUUGGACAAUGGGGGGAACCCUGAUCCAGCCAUGCCGCGUGUGUGAAGAAGGCCUUAUGGUUGUAAAGCACUUUAAGCGAGGAGGAGGCUCUUUUGGUUAAUACCCAAGAUGAGUGGACGUUACUCGCAGAAUAAGCACCGGCUAACUCUGUGCCAGCCGCCGCAGUAA